rnacentral:tRNA from 1 species
GGGCCUAUAGCUCAGCUGGUUCAGAGCACCUGCCUUACAAGCAGGGGGUCACAGGUUCGAAUCCUGUUGGGCCCAC